GGUGGAAUACAACAGGAGACUGAAACCAGGUAUUUCUGCUCAAAACAAAGGUGCCAGCUAUUCUGGCUUGCGGAUUUGGCGAUAUAUAAGGCUGGGCCAGCUCACAGCGACUUUGGAAGCCUCACCUAUGGGUGGACACAUCACGUAGGAUUUCCCCCUUGCCGGGACGGGGUCUCCAAAUCCUCGUUGUGACCAGGUGUGCCCAGCGACUACGGAUCUGGAUGAUGGUAACGUGUGCAAGUGGUGAUGGAUCUUUCCUAAUCACUAUUCUCUUUCUCAGGUAGUAAUGAUUUGAUGCAUUACAAGGUAUUUCCCUAUUUGUUUAAGCCCGUUGUUCUGUCUUUUCUUACUGUAAGUUUUCUGUAUUGUUCUGUUACAUUAUUUAGUUAUUUUAAGUAAAAUACGCCUGCUCUCU